rnacentral:rRNA from 1 species
UACGUAGGGGGCGAGCGUUGUCCGGAAUUAUUGGGCGUAAAGGGCUCGUAGGCGGUUUGUCGCGUCGGGGGUGAAAUCCACUGGCUUAACUGGUGGCUUGCUUUCGAUACGGGCAGACUGGAGGUAUGCAGGGGAGAACGGAAUUCCUGGUGUAGCGGUGAAAUGCGCAGAUAUCAGGAGGAACACCGGUGGCGAAGGCGGUUCUCUGGGCAUGUCCUGACGCUGAGGAGCGAAAGUGUGGGGAGCGAACAGG